GGAUGGUUGGCGCAGCGGUAACGCAGCUGUUUGCUAAACAGUACAUCCGAAAGGAUGCGUUGGUUCGAAUCCAACACCAUCCGCCA
rnacentral:tRNA from 1 species